AAUGAGGCUUAAGCGUGCCAUGGACAUUGGCUCAUGGCUGCGUAUCACCACGAGCGCCUCCUCGAGGUUGGCCACGACCUUGGACAUGUCCGGCCGGCCCAUCCGUGACAGGCAGAGGCAGCGCUUCGCCGUGUCCGCCACGAUCUCCAGCGCCUCCAUCUGCGGCAGCGUCGGGUCCAGCGACGGCCGACGGUCCAGCACAUCCUUCAGUGCUAGCUUCCCGGUCCCUAUGGAGUCCAGCUGCAGGGUGGCCG
rnacentral:rRNA from 1 species